rnacentral:rRNA from 1 species
AUCUGGCUCUUUCACGAGGGUCCGAGUUGUAAUUUUGAGAACUGUUUUCUGUGCUGGACCAUUUCUAAGUCUGUUGGAAAACAGCAUCAUAGAGGGUGAUAAUCCCGUUUGUGAUAUGGACUACCAGGGCUAUAUGAUACAGUUUCUAAGAGUCGAGUUGUUUGGGAAUGCAGCUCAAAGUGGGUGGUAAAUUCCAUCUAAGGCUAAAUAUAGGUGAGAGACCGAUAGCAUACAAGUACCGUGAGGGAAAGAUGAAAAGAACUUUGGAAAGAGAGUUAACAGUACGUGAAAUUGUUGUAAAGGAAACAUUUAAAUUUGUCGUUGUGCUUGUCAGUUCAGCCCUCUUAUCAGGGUGUAUUCUGGCAAAUCACGGACCAACAUCAGUUUUUGAGUGCUGGAUAAGGGUCUUGGGAAUGUAGCAGUCUAGGCUGUGUUAUAGCCCGGGAUUUAGAUACAGUGCUUAGGACUGAGAACAAAUCGCAGCAAGC